rnacentral:rRNA from 1 species
GACGAACGCUGGCGGCGUGCUUAACACAUGCAAGUCGAACGGAAAGGCCCUGCUUUUGUUGGGUGCUCGAGUGUCGAACGGGUUAGUAACACGUGAGUAACCUGCCCUUUACUUUGGUAUAACUUCAGGAAACUGUGUCUAAUACCGGAUAUGAGCUCCUGCUGCAUGGUGUUGGUUGGAAAGUUUCGUCGGUUGGGGAUGUACUCGCGUCUUAUCAGCUUGUUGGUGGGGUAGUUGCUUACCAAGGCUUUGACGGGUAGCCGUCCUGAGAGGGUGACCGGCAAAAUUGGGACUGAGAUACGGACCAGACUAGUACGGGAGGCAGCAGUGGGGAAUAUUGCAAAAUGGGAGGAAGCCUGAUGCAGAAACGCAGCGUGCGGGAUGACGGCCUUCGGGUUGUAAACCGAUUUCGCAUGUGACGAAGCGUGAGUGACGGUAAUGGGUAAAGAAGCAACGGAUAACUACGUG